UAACCACUCAAGCUCACGCUUGGUCUUGGGGUUCGCGGUCCCGCGGCCCCUAAAAUCAGUGGCGGUGCCUGUCGGCUCUACGCGUAGUAAUACUCCUCGCGUCUGGGUCCGGUGGGUCUACUUGCCAGCAACCCCCAAUUUUUUACA
rnacentral:misc_RNA from 1 species